GAUGAACGCUGGCGGCGUGCCUAAUACAUGCAAGUCGAGCGAACAGAUGAGGAGCUUGCUCCUCUGACGUUAGCGGCGGACGGGUGAGUAACACGUGGAUAACCUACCUAUAAGACUGGGAUAACUUCGGGAAACCGGAGCUAAUACCGGAUAAUAUAUUGAACCGCAUGGUUCAAUAGUGAAAGACGGUUUUGAUGUCACUUAUAGAUGGAUCCGCGCCGCAUUAGCUAGUUGGUGAGGUAACGGCUUACCAAGGCAACGAUGCGUAGCCGACCUGAGAGGGUGAUCGGCCACACUGGAACUGAGACACGGUCCAGCCUCCUACGGGAGGCAGCAGUAGGGAAUCUUCCGCAAUGGGCGAAAGCCUGACGGAGCAACGCCGCGUGAGUGAUGAAGGUCUUCGGAUCGUAAAACUCUGUUAUUAGGGAAGAACAAAUGUGUAAGUAACUAUGCACGUCUUGACGGUACCUAAUCAGAAAGCCACGGCUAACUACGUG
rnacentral:rRNA from 1 species